GUAGGGAAUCUUGCGCAAUGGGCGAAAGCCUGACGCAGCCAUGCCGCGUGAAUGAUGAAGGUCUUAGGAUUGUAAAAUUCUUUCACCGGGGACGAUAAUGACGGUACCCGGAGAAGAAGCCCCGGCUAACUCCGUGCCAGCAGCCGCGGUAAUACGAAGGGGGCUAGCGUUGCUCGGAAUUACUGGGCGUAAAGGGCGCGUAGGCGGACAGCUUAGUCAGAGGUGAAAGCCCAGGGCUCAACCUUGGAAUUGCCUUUGAUACUGGCUGUCUUGAGUUUGGGAGAGGUGAGUGGAACUCCGAGUGUAGAGGUGAAAUUCGUAGAUAUUCGGAAGAACACCAGUGGCGAAGGCGACUCACUGGCCCAAUACUGACGCUGAGGCGCGAAAGCGUGGGGAGCAAACAGGAUUAGAAACCCUUGUAGUCC
rnacentral:rRNA from 1 species